rnacentral:rRNA from 1 species
GACGAACGCUGGCGGCGUGCUUAACACAUGCAAGUCGAACGGAAAGGCCCUGCUUUUGUGGGGUGCUCGAGUGGCGAACGGGUGAGUAACACGUGAGUAACCUGCCCUUAACUUUGGGAUAACUUCAGGAAACUGGGGCUAAUACCGGAUAGGAGCUCCUGCUGCAUGGUGGGGGUUGGAAAGUUUCGGCGGUUGGGGAUGGACUCGCGGCUUAUCAGCUUGUUGGUGGGGUAGUGGCUUACCAAGGCUUUGGCGGGUAGCCGGCCUGAGAGGGUGACCGGCCACAUUGGGACUGAGAUACGGCCCAGACUCCUACGGGAGGCAGCAGUGGGGAAUAUUGCACAAUGGGCGGAAGCCUGAUGCAGCAACGCCGCGUGCGGGAUGACGGCCUUCGGGUUGUAAACCGCUUUCGCCUGUGACGAAGCGUGAGUGACGGUAAUGGGUAAAGAAGCACCGGCUAACUACGUG